rnacentral:rRNA from 1 species
AACGAACGCUGGCGGCAUGCCUAACACAUGCAAGUCGAACGAGACCUUCGGGUCUAGUGGCUCACGGGUGCGUAAAGCGUGGGAACCUGCCCGUAUGUUCGGACUAACUCCCCGGAAUGGGUGCUAAUACCGGAUAAUGUCUUCGGACCAAAGAGUUAUCGCCUUUGUAUGGGCGCGCGUUGGGUUAGCUAGUGGGUAGGGUAAAAGCCUACCCAGGGGACGAUCCAUGGCUGGUCUGAGAGGAUGAUCAGCCACACUGGGACUGAGACACGGCCCAGACUCCGACGGGAGGCAGCAGUGGGGAAUAUUGGACAAAGGGCGAAAGCAGGAUCCAGCAAUGGCGCGUGAGGGAUGAAGGCCUUAGGGUUGUAAAGCUCUUUUACGAGGGAUGAUUAUGACAGUAAGGGGAGAAUAAGCCCCGGGCAAACUAGGGC